rnacentral:ncRNA from 2 species
CCCUUAUCCAGAGAGGCCGAGAGACCAGGCUCGACGACGCCCAGCAACCUGCAUCCCAUUCGAUGCGUGGUGCCAAUUCCUGCAUUUCGCAAAGAAAUGAGAGAUAAGAG